rnacentral:rRNA from 1 species
AGAGUUUGAUCAUGGCUCAGGAUGAACGCUGGCGGCGUGCCUAACACAUGCAAGUCGAGCGAUUCUCUUCGGAGAAGAGCGGCGGACGGGUGAGUUAUCGCGUGGGUAACCUGCCCUGUACACACGGAUAACAUACCGAAAGGUAUGCUAAUACGAGAUAAUAUGCUUUUAUCGCAUGGUAGAAGUAUCAAAGCUUUUGCGGUACAGGAUGGACCCGCGUCUGAUUAGCUAGUUGGUAAGGUAACGGCUUACCAAGGCGACGAUCAGUAGCCGACCUGAGAGGGUGAUCGGCCACAUUGGAACUGAGACACGGUCCAAACUCCUACGGGAGGCAGCAGUGGGGAAUAUUGCACAAUGGGCGAAAGCCUGAUGCAGCAACGCCGCGUGAGCGAUGAAGGCCUUCGGGUCGUAAAGCUCUGUCCUCAAGGAAGAUAAUGACGGUACUUGAGGAGGAAGCCCCGGCUAACUACGUGCCAGCAGCCGCGGUAAUACGUAGGGGGCUAGCGUUAUCCGGAAUUACUGGGCGUAAAGGGUGCGUAGGUGGUUUCUUAAGUCAGAGGUGAAAGGCUACGGCUCAACCGUAGUAAGCCUUUGAAACUGGGAAACUUGAGUGCAGGAGAGGAGAGUGGAAUUCCUAGUGUAGCGGUGAAAUGCGUAGAUAUUAGGAGGAACACCAGUUGCGAAGGCGGCUCUCUGGACUGUAACUGACAUUGAGGCACGAAAGCGUGGGGAGCAAACAGGAUUAGAUACCCUGGUAGUCCACGCCGUAAACGAUGAGUACUAGCUGUCGGAGGUUACCCCCUUCGGUGGCGCAGCU